rnacentral:rRNA from 1 species
AACGAACGCUGGCGGCAUGCCUAACACAUGCAAGUCGAACGAAGGCUUCGGCCUUAGUGGCGCACGGGUGAGUAACGCGUGGGAAACUGCCUAUUGGUGGGGAAUAACGACGGGAAACUGUCGCUAAUACCGCAUAAGCCCUUCGGGGGACAGAUUUAUCGCCGAGAGAUGGGCCCGCGUCCGAUUAGCUAGUUGGUGAGGUAAUGGCUCACCAAGGCGACGAUCGGUAGCUGGUCUGAGAGGAUGAUCAGCCACACUGGGACUGAGACACGGCCCAGACUCCUACGGGAGGCAGCAGUGGGGAAUAUUGGACAAUGGGCGAAAGCCUGAUCCAGCAAUGCCGCGUGAGUGAUGAAGGCCUUAGGGUUGUAAAGCUCUUUCGGGUGGGACGAUGAUGACGGUACCACCAGAAGAAGCCCCGGCUAACUUCNUGCCAGCCGCCGCAGUAA